rnacentral:tRNA from 2 species
AGGGCAGUAGCUCAGUUGGUAGAGCAACGGUCUCCAAAACCGUUGGCCGGGGGUUCGAGUCCCUCCUGCCCUGCCA